rnacentral:lncRNA from 10 species
AAGAAUUUUAAGGACAGUAGCAGGUGUCUUAGUCCAUUUUGUGCUACCUUAACAAAAUAUCUGAAGCAAAUAGCUAAGCUAAGUGAUUGGCCUAAAAUCAAAUGAAUAUCUAGUGACUCAGUACUUCCUUGAAAAGCUCCCUAAGGCAAUAACAUCAUUUUAUAUGACAGAUCCAGCACCAAUAAUCAUAUGUUCCAAAGGUGACAUAAAAGGUAAACCUGAGGGAAUUUUACCCUGUUGACCUAUCAGUGGAAUGAGAGAGUUUAGAAGAUUUCACGUUUGUCUUUUGGGAAGUGUACCACAAUUUCUUCAAACACAGGACCUAAAACCAAGUAGGAGGAAAGCUACAGCUGAGUCAACCUGAGUAAGGGAUUUCAUUCAUUCAUUCAUUCAUUCAUUCAUUCAUUCAUUCAGCACCUGUGUCCAACACCCUGCAAGGCACUACAGAUUCGGCAGUAAAUAAAAAUGAAAUCAUUGUUCUUAGAGUGCUUGUUCUCCAGGGAACAAAGACAGACAGGCAAACAAACAAAGAAUGAAUAAAAAAUAUGAAGUAGAUUAGAUAGUGGUAUCAGAAAGAAAAAGAAAACAAAGUAUGAAGAUAGAAAGAAACAAAUGUCUUGGGGGAACUAUUUCAGAUAGAGUAAAGGGAAAGAAAGAUAGGAAAUAAGAAGAAAUAGCACUUCUGUCUUUUUCCAACUUUAUAACCAGGAAUUAAGCCUCUAAACACAGCUUCCUUCUUUUUUCAUCUUACAGGUCCUCAUGAUAAUACCCCAACUAGACCUUUAACUUCCUUCUUUUCGUACAAGAUCUCCUGCUCACUAAGAUGGCACACAACAGAGAUAAUUGCUUAUUUUCAAGUGAUUGGUGGCACAGUGGGCUAAUUGGUGCCUGAUCUUCCUGUUCUACA